rnacentral:rRNA from 1 species
UGCGCGAGUCAUUGGGUGUCAAAACCUAAAGGCGAAAUGAAAGUGAAGGAAACUUCGUUUUCGAGGGAGGAUGGGUCGGUUCCCUCUCCAGGGCCCGCCUCGCACUCCCGGGGCGUCUCUAUCUCAUCGCGAGAGGAGGCGCACCUAGAGCGUACACGCUGAUACCCGAAAGAUGGUGAACUAUGCCUGGCCAGGACGAAGCCAGGGGAAACCCUGGUGGAGGUCCGCAGCGAUUCUGACGUGCAAAUCGAUCGUCGGAGCUGGGUUUAGGGGCGAAAGACCAAUCGAACCAUCUAGUAGCUGGUUCCCUCUGAAGUUUCCCUCAGGAUAGCUUGCGCUCAGAGGUCACGAGUCUCAUCCGGUAGAGCGAAUGAUUAGAGGCCUUGGGGUCGAAACGACCUCAACCUAUUCUCAAACUCCAAAUAGAUGAGAACCCCGGCUUUCUUGAACAAUGUUUAUGAAGCCGGGGGCUUGGAUCAGAGUGCCAAGUGGGCCAAUUUUGG